GCCCGCGGCGGGGUGGACUUGGCGGUUUGCGCGGGCGCGUGGGAGCGCGUCGGAGCGGCUCUGCGGCUCGCCACAGGUAUCUCCAGAAGGUGCUGGAGCUCAGUUCCUGAUUCGUACUGGGUCUGUUGGCCGAAAUAGAGCUGAAGCCUCCUUGGAGCGAGCGCAGAAUCUCAACCCCAUGGUGGAUGUGAAGGUGGACACUGGGGACAUAGAGAAGAAGCCCGAGUCAUUCUUCACUCAGUUUGACGCAGUGUGCCUGACUUGCUGCUCCAGGGAUGUUAUAGUGAAAGUCGACCAGAUCUGUCACAAAAACAGCAUCAAGUUUUUCACCGGCGAUGUCUUUGGAUACCAUGGGUACACCUUUGCCAAUCUUGGAGAGCAUGAGUUUGUAGAUGCUCCUGAAGUUCCGUACGGAUAAAGGGCGCGAUCCUGGUUCUGACACCCAAAGCGAGGAUGCCGAGUUGCUGCUGCAGAAUCGGAACGAUGUGCUUGACUCGCUGGGCGUCAGUCCUGACCUGCUUCCUGACGACUUUGUCAGUCCUUCCUGCUCUUCUGCCGGUCCCUCGACACCAGUGGUGACUGUUCCCGCCUCGUGGCUGACGGCUGGCUGGAGCUGCAGCUGGCAGACAGUGAGUGCGCAAUCCGGCUCCUGGCAGCAUCCCUGCGACUCCGUGCCCACUGGGAAAAUGCCCUGAACCGGCAGCUGGCCCACCAGGCCCAGCGACAGAGGCUGGCGGAAGAGGAAGAGGAGGAUUCCCCACCAGUCAGCCGUCAGGAAGUGGCCACCUUGAGCAGGGAGCUGCUACAGUUCAUUGCAACCAAGGUUCCAUACAGCCUCUGACAGCUCACAGGGUUGGAAGCCCAGAACCUGUAUGUGGGACCCCAGACCAUCAUGACGUCCCCUAGUCUCCCUAGAAUCUUUGGAAAUGUUAACCUCUCACCUCACCAAGGGAGGCUAUGCCAUCACUGACUUCCUCACCCCCAAGGGUGGCACCCCAAGCAAGGACGGUGAGGGACCAUGGGGUGCACGUGCCCAGAGUGAUGUCUGCCGUCCACCAUGUACCCUUGUUGCUCCCUUGUAUGGGGACUAAUGGCCUCAGUCUCCUGACCCAGGCCUUGUCACCGUGACCCUGUGUGCAGGCGGAAGCUGAAGGCCACCUCUCUGUCUCACCUCUUCCCCAGCCCUCACCACCCACAGUGACCCACGUGGCCUCUUGAGAGUCUCAAGUGUAGUCCAGCUGCGCGACUUUGCAUUGCUGUGAUGCAGAACCUGACAGAAGCCGCUUACAAGAGGAGAGGUGCAUUUUGGUCAUGGUUUCAGGGACUUCUGUCAUCCCGGAGGGAAGGCGUGGCAGGCCAGCUCCCGUCACAGCCACCGCUCAGUGGGACGGAGGCCGCCGCAUCGUGGCAGGCCAGAAAGGAAAAGUGGGGCAGGACCCGGCGG